rnacentral:rRNA from 1 species
CACGUAGGGUGCGAGCGUUGUCCGGAAUUAUUGGGCGUAAAGAGCUCGUAGGCGGUGUGUCGCGUCGGCCGUGAAAACCUGCAGCUUAACUGUGGGCUUGCGGUCGAUACGGGCAGACUUGAGUUCGGUAGGGGAGACUGGAAUUCCUGGUGUAGCGGUGAAAUGCGCAGAGAUCCGGAAGAACACCGGUGGCGAAGGCGGCCUGCUGGGCAGUAGCUGACGCUGAUGCGCGACAGCGUGGGGAGCAAACAGG